rnacentral:rRNA from 1 species
ACGUGACYKMGYWYAWYMAUAAGCGGAGGAARGAAACCAACAGGGAUURCYCUAGUAACGGCGAGUGAAGCGGYAACAGCUCAAAUUUGAAAUCUGGCUYCUUUGGAGCCCGAGUUGUAAUUUGYAGAAGAUGCUUUGGGUGUGGSWSCGGYCYAAGUUCCUUGGAACAGGACGUCRYAGAGGGUGAGAAUCCCGUAUGCGGCUCGGCGCCCGCGCCCMGUGUAAAGCUCUUUUCGACGAGUCGAGUUGUUUGGGAAUGCAGCUCUAAAUGGGUGGUAAAUUUCWUCUAAAGCUAAAUAUUGGCCAGAGACCGAUAGCGCACAAGUAGAGUGAUCGAAAGAUGAAAAGCACUUUGGAAAGAGAGUUAAACAGUACGUGAAAUUGUUGAAAGGGAAGCGCUGGCAACCAGACUUGGGCGCUGUUGMUCCGUCGGGGUUCUCCCUGAGGCACUCKWCWGCGCGCAGGCCAGCAUCGGUUKGGGGGGUUGGAGAAAGACUGGUGGAAUGUASCUGCCUUCGGGSAGUGUUAUAGCCACMGGUGGCAUGCARCCCUCCCCGGACCGAGGWCCGCGCUUCKGCUAGGAUGCUGGCGUAAUGGUUGUCAGCGACCCGUCUUGAAACACGGACCAAGGAGUCUAACAUCUAUGCGAGUGUUUGGGUGUCAAACCCAUACGCGKAAUGAAAGUGAACGCAGGUGAGAACCYGUAAGGGUGCAYCAUCGACCGAUCCUGAUGUCUUCGGAUGGAUUUGAGUAAGAGCAUAGCUGUUGGGACCCGAAAGAUGGUGAACUAUGCYUGAAUAGGGUGAAGCCAGAGGAAACUCUGGUGGAGGCUCGCAGCGGUUCUGACGUGCAAAUCGAUCGUCAAAUUUGGGUAUAGGGGCGAAAGACUAAUCGAACYAUCWAKKRKYUGGGUCCUGCGA